GACGAACGCUGGCGGCGUGCCUAAUACAUGCAAGUCGAGCGGACAGAAGGGAGCUUGCUCCCGGAUGUUAGCGGCGGACGGGUGAGUAACACGUGGGUAACCUGCCUGUAAGACUGGGAUAACUCCGGGAAACCGGAGCUAAUACCGGAUAGUUCCUUGAACCGCAUGGUUCAAGGAUGAAAGACGGUUUCGGCUGUCACUUACAGAUGGACCCGCGGCGUAUUAGCUAGUUGGUGGGGUAACG
rnacentral:rRNA from 1 species